rnacentral:rRNA from 1 species
UACCAGCACCCCGAGUGGUCGGGACGAUUAUUGGGCCUAAAGCAUCCGUAGCCGGUUCUUCAAGUCUUCCGUUAAAUCCAGCCGCUCAACGGAUGGGCCGCGGAGGAUACUAUAGGACUAGGAGGCGGGAGAGGCAAGCGGUACUCAGUGGGUAGGGGUAAAAUCCUUUGAUCCAUUGAAGACCACCAGUGGCGAAGGCGGCUUGCCAGAACGCGCUCGACGGUGAGGGAUGAAAGCUGGGGGAGCAAACCGG